UACGGAGGGGGCUAGCGUUGUUCGGAAUUACUGGGCGUAAAGCGCGCGUAGGCGGCUUUGUAAGUUAGAGGUGAAAGCCCAGGGCUCAACCCUGGAAUUGCCUUUAAGACUGCAUCGCUUAAACAUCGGAGAGGUAAGUGGAAUUCCGGAGUGUAGAGGUGAAAUUCGUAGAUAUUCGGAGGAACACCAGUGGCGAAGGCGGCUCACUGGUCCGGUACUGACGCUGAGGUGCGAAAGGCGUGGGGGAGCAAACAGG
rnacentral:rRNA from 1 species